rnacentral:misc_RNA from 1 species
AACACUGUUAACCUGCGGUACCUGCGGAGGGAUCAUUAUAGUAUAUGGAAUCUCCAUUCUAUAAACCCACUCUGCGUAUCUUGUAACUGUUGCUUCCAUGGGACUUGGUUCCGCCACACCGGCUUCACGGCUGGUGAGCGCCCAUGGAAGGAGAAACAAAACUCUUCUUUGAAGUGUAGUCAGUCUGAACAAGUUUUUAUAAACGUUAAAACUUUUAACAACGGAUCUCAGAUCGGAAGA